AUUGAACGCUGGCGGCAGGCCUAACACAUGCAAGUCGAGCGAGCGGCGGACGGGUGAGUAAUGUCUGGGAAACUGCCUGAUGGCGGGGGAUAACUACUGGAAACGGUAGCUAAUACCGCAUCCCAUCAGAUGUGCCCAGAUGGGAUGAGCUAGUGGGUGGGGUAAUGGCCCACCUAGGCGACGAUCCCUAGCUGGUCUGCGAGGAUGACAAGCCACACUGGAACUUAGACACGGCCCAGACUCCUACGGGAGGCAGCAGUGGGGAAUAUUGGACAAUGGGCGAAAGCCUGAUGCAGCCAUGCCGCGUGUGUGAAGAAGGCCUUCGGGUUGUAAAGCACUUUCAGUGGGGAGGCGUUACCCGCAGAAGAAGCACCGGCUAACUCCGUGCCAGCAGCCGCGGUAAUUC
rnacentral:rRNA from 1 species